GAUGAACGCUAGCGGCAGGCCUAACACAUGCAAGUCGAGGGGUAGAAGGAGCUUGCUCCUUUGAGACCGGCGCACGGGUGCGUAACGCGUAUGCAAUCUACCUUGUACAGGGGAAUAGCCCAGAGAAAUUUGGAUUAAUGCCCCAUAGUAUAUAACCUUCGCAUGUUGGUUAUAUUAAAGUUCCAACGGUACAAGAUGAGCAUGCGUCCCAUUAGUUAGUUGGUAAGGUAACGGCUUACCAAGACGAUGAUGGGUAGGGGUCCUGAGAGGGAGAUCCCCCACACUGGUACUGAGACACGGACCAGACUCCUACGGGAGGCAGCAGUGAGGAAUAUUGGUCAAUGGUCGCAAGACUGAACCAGUCAUGCCGCGUGCAGGAAGACGGUCCUAUGGAUUGUAAACUGCUUUUAUACAGGAAGAAACCCUCCCACGUGUGGGAGCUUGACGGUACUGUAGGAAUAAGGAUCGGCUAACUCCGUG
rnacentral:rRNA from 1 species